GACGAACGCUGGCGGCGUGCUUAACACAUGCAAGUCGAACGGAAAGGCCCUGCUUUUGUGGGGUGCUCGAGUGGCGAACGGGUGAGUAACACGUGAGUAACCUGCCCUUGACUUUGGGAUAACUUCAGGAAACUGGGGCUAAUACCGGAUAGGAGCUCCUGCUGCAUGGGGGGGGUUGGAAAGUUUCGGCGGUUGGGGAUGGACUCGCGGCUUAUCAGCUUGUUGGUGGGGUAGUGGCUUACCAAGGCUUUGACGGGUAGCCGGCCUGAGAGGGUGACCGGCCACAUUGGGACUGAGAUACGGCCCAGACUCCUACGGGAGGCAGCAGUGGGGAAUACUGCACAAUGGGCGGAAGCCUGAUGCAGCAACGCCGCGUGCGGGAUGACGGCCUUCGGGUUGUAAACCGCUUUCGCCUGUGACGAAGCGUGAGUGACGGUAAUGUGUAAAGAAGCACCGGCUAACUACGUG
rnacentral:rRNA from 1 species